rnacentral:tRNA from 1 species
CUGCGUGUAAGUCAGUCUGGUAGACACCCCGCCUUGGACGCGGGUAGCCGUUGGUUCAAAUCCAACCGCGCAGACCA